rnacentral:rRNA from 1 species
CAAUAGCGUAUAUUAAAGCUGUUGCGGUUAAAAAGCUCGUAGUUGGAUUUCUGACAAGGACAACUGGUCCGCCCCUCGGGUGAGCACAUAGUUUGGUCUUGGCAUCUUGUUGGAAACUGUUGCUGCACUUGGUUGUGUGGCGCAGUGUCCAGCACUUUCACUUUGAGGAAAUUGGAGUGUUUCAAGCAGGCACAUGCCUUUGGACACAGUAGCAUGGAAUAAUUAGAUUGGGCUUUUGCUCCAACUUGUCGGUUUCUGGAGCUGAGGUGAGAAUUAAUGGGGAUUGUUGGGGGCAUCCGAAUUUAGCCGUCAGAGGUGAAAUUCUUGGAUCUGCUAAAGACGGACAACUGCGAAAGCGUUUGCCCAGGAUGUUUUCAUUGA